rnacentral:rRNA from 1 species
CACGUAGGCGGAUCGGUCAGUUAGGGGUGAAAUCCCAGGGCUCAACCCUGGAACUGCCUUUAAUACUGCCGGUCUAGAGUUCGAGAGAGGUGAGUGGAAUUCCGAGUGUAGAGGUGAAAUUCGUAGAUAUUCGGAGGAACACCAGUGGCGAAGGCGGCUCACUGGCUCGAUACUGACGCUGAGGUGCGAAAGCGUGGGGAGCAAACA